AUUGAACGCUAGCGGCAUGCCUUACACAUGCAAGUCGAACGGCAGCACGGGUGCUUGCCCCUGGUGGCGAGUGGCGAACGGGUGAGUAAUACAUCGGAACAUGUCCUGUAGUGGGGGAUAGCCCGGCGAAAGCCGGAUUAAUACCGCAUACGAUCUACGGAUGAAAGCGGGGGACCUUCGGGCCUCGCGCUAUAGGGUUGGCCGAUGGCUGAUUAGCUAGUUGGUGGGGUAAAGGCCUACCAAGGCGACGAUCAGUAGCUGGUCUGAGAGGACGACCAGCCACACUGGGACUGAGACACGGCCCAGACUCCUACGGGAGGCAGCAGUGGGGAAUUUUGGACAAUGGGCGAAAGCCUGAUCCAGCAAUGCCGCGUGUGUGAAGAAGGCCUUCGGGUUGUAAAGCACUUUUGUCCGGAAAGAAAUCCUUGGCCCUAAUACGGUCGGGGGAUGACGGUACCGGAAGAAUAAGCACCGGCUAACUACGUG
rnacentral:rRNA from 1 species